rnacentral:rRNA from 1 species
UACGUGGGGGGCAAGCGUUGUCCGGAAUCAUUGGGCGUAAAGAGCGUGUAGGCGGCCAGAAAAGUCCGCUGUGAAAACUCGAGGCUCAACUUCGAGCUGUCGGUGGAAACUUUCUGGCUAGAGUCCGGAAGAGGAGAAUGGAAUUCCUGGUGUAGCGGUGAAAUGCGCAGAUAUCAGGAAGAACACCCGUGGCGAAGGCGGUUCUCUGGGACGGUACUGACGCUGAGACGCGAAAGCGUGGGGAGCGAACAGG